rnacentral:rRNA from 1 species
UGGGGAAUUUUGGACAAUGGGCGAAAGCCUGAUCCAGCCAUGCCGCGUGCGGGAAGAAGGCCUUCGGGUUGUAAACCGCUUUUGUCAGGGAAGAAAUCUUUCGAGCUAAUACCUUGAGAGGAUGACGGUACCUGAAGAAUAAGCACCGGCUAACUACGUGCCAGCAGCCGCGGUAAUACGUAGGGUGCAAGCGUUAAUCGGAAUUACUGGGCGUAAAGCGUGCGCAGGCGGUUGUGCAAGACAGGUGUGAAAUCCCCGGGCUUAACCUGGGAACUGCACUUGUGACUGCACGGCUGGAGUACGGCAGAGGGGGAUGGAAUUCCGCGUGUAGCAGUGAAAUGCGUAGAUAUGCGGAGGAACACCGAUGGCGAAGGCAGUCCCCUGGGCCUGUACUGACGCUCAUGCACGAAAGCGUGGGGAGCAAACAGGAUUAGAUACCCUGGUAGUCCACGCCCUAAACGAUGUCAACUGGUUGUUGGGAAGGUUUCUUCUCAGUAACGUAGCUAACGCGUGAAGUUGACCGCCCGGGGAGUACGGCCGCAAGGUUGA